rnacentral:rRNA from 1 species
CCUACGGGAGGCAGCAGUGGGGAAUUUUGGACAAUGGGCGCAAGCCUGAUCCAGCCAUGCCGCGUGCGGGAAGAAGGCCUUCGGGUUGUAAACCGCUUUUGUCAGGGAAGAAAUCCUUUGGGUUAAUACCUCGGAGGGAUGACGGUACCUGAAGAAUAAGCACCGGCUAACUACGUGCCAGCAGCCGCGGUAAUACGUAGGGUGCGAGCGUUAAUCGGAAUUACUGGGCGUAAAGCGUGCGCAGGCGGUUAUGCAAGACAGAUGUGAAAUCCCCGGGCUCAACCUGGGAACUGCAUUUGUGACUGCAUAGCUAGAGUACGGUAGAGGGGGGAUGGAAUUCCGCGUGUAGCAGUGAAAUGCGUAGAUAUGCGGAGGAACACCGAUGGCGAAGGCAAUCCCCUGGACCUGUACUGACGCUCAUGCACGAAAGCGUGGGGAGCAAACAGGAUUAGAUACCCUGGUAGUCCACGCCCUAAACGAUGUCAACUGGUUGUUGGACGGCUUGCUGUUCAGUAACGAAGCUAACGCGUGAAGUUGACCGCCUGGGGAGUCGGCCGCAAGGUUGAAACUUCAAAGGAAUUGACGGCUGGAGAGNGCGAGCGACGACGAGGGAGGAGG